UAGUACUGCCAUUGACAAAUCGUUUAUACGACCGAAUCAUACCACAACUAUUCAAACAGAAGACUCUUCUUUGGAAAAUGUUGAAACCACAAGCAAUGACACAUGUAAAACUUGUGAAAGAUCUAUCACGAAUCCAUUGGUGAAGGCAGGAUUAGUAGAUAAGGACCUUCAUGAUAUUCUAGUUCUAGAGGAUAGCAUUUAGUCAGCCAAACCAAAUAACAAAAGGUUAACAGGUGCACGCAUCUACACUGGCCAAGAAAUGCGAGAUGAACUGAAAAGAAAGGCAGAGGAACAAAAAGAAAAAGAAGAUGGUCUAAAAUAUCGUAAAGAAGUCAGAGAAGCUAAAAGGAUAGAAAAACAAAAUGUCAUUAAAAUGAAGCAAUCAAAAGAAAAGCGAAAUCAACAAAAACUACCACAGAAGGAAGAAAAAUAAAUAAAAAAUCUAAUCAAUAUGAAGCAAGUAGGCAGCAUGUAGAUCCUCACAUUAUCGCAGUUACUGCUGAGGUACAUGCAGAUAUAAAGACAACCGAGGAAUCUGACAGUUUAGAGCAAAUUAAAUUGUGUAGGCCAAGAGUACAGAAAGCUAACAAAAAAUUCAGAGAAAUAGAA
rnacentral:lncRNA from 1 species